UGCGGGAUGGAGCAGCCUGGUAGCUCGUCGGGCUCAUAACCCGAAGGUCGUCGGUUCAAAUCCGGCUCCCGCUA
rfam:Endozoicomonas sp. S-B4-1T isolate SB41TT1 genome assembly, contig: SB41TT_contig_13